GCCUGGGUGGCUCAGUGGUUAAGCAUCUGCCUUUGGCUCAGGUUGUGAUCCCAGGGUCUUGGGAUCGAGUCCCAUCUCGGGCU
rnacentral:tRNA from 1 species